rnacentral:rRNA from 1 species
GACGAACGCUGGCGGCGUGCUUAACACAUGCAAGUCGAACGAUGAAAGCGGGAGCUUGCUCCUGCUGGAUUAGUGGCGAACGGGUGAGUAACACGUGAGCAAUCUGCCCCGAACUCUGGGAUAAGCGUUGGAAACGACGUCUAAUACCGGAUACGACGCGCGAAGGCAUCUUCUGCGCGUGGAAAGAAUUUCGGUUCGGGAUGAGCUCGCGGCCUAUCAGCUAGUUGGUGAGGUAAUGGCUCACCAAGGCGACGACGGGUAGCCGGCCUGAGAGGGUGACCGGCCACACUGGGACUGAGACACGGCCCAGACUCCUACGGGAGGCAGCAGUGGGGGAAUAUUGCACAAUGGGCGCAAGCCUGAUGCAGCAACGCCGCGUGAGGGACGACGGCCUCG